UCCGUCCUACGGGGCGCAGCAGUGGGGAAUAUUGCACAAUGGGGGAAACCCUGAUGCAGCGACGCCGCGUGAGCGAUGAAGUAUUUCGGUAUGUAAAGCUCUAUCAGCAGGGAAGAAAAUGACGGUACCUGACUAAGAAGCCCCGGCUAACUACGUGCCAGCAGCCGCGGUAAUACGUAGGGGGCAAGCGUUAUCCGGAUUUACUGGGUGUAAAGGGAGCGUAGACGGCAU
rnacentral:rRNA from 1 species